CACGUAGGGGGCGAGCGUUGUCCGGAUUUAUUGGGCGUAAAGAGCUCGUAGGCGGUUCACUAAGUCGGGUGUGAAACCUCCAGGCUCAACCUGGAGACGCCACCUGAUACUGGUGUGACUAGAGUCCGGUAGGGGAGUGUGGAACUCCUGGUGUAGCGGUGAAAUGCGCAGAUAUCGGGAAGAACACCCGUGGCGAAGGCGGCUCUCUGGGGCGGUACUGGACGCUGAGACGCGAAAGCGUGGGGAGCGAACAGG
rnacentral:rRNA from 1 species